rnacentral:lncRNA from 1 species
GAAAGAAAGCUCCAGAAAACAUCUGUGGCUGCUGGCUUUCUCGUGCCUCCCAUUGUUGGGAGACCAUGGACGUCGGUGGAGGAGGGAAGUUCUGUCACCUGUUUGGAAGCCAAAGCUGGCAACUCUGACUGGUUUGUGACAGCUGCGAGAGACUCCAGCUUGGUACUGGAAGAGCGAGGAGAAGCAGCUUGUGUGGUGAGCGCGGAUGAUGGAGGUGACCCUGGAGGAGAGAGGUCUGUUCUUAGUGCUGUCAUGAUGAGAGGCCUUGUUUGGACCAGAGUCUCAGUGGGGUCCUUGGCAAGAUCCAGGGAGGCGCUAUGUCCACUUCCUUGGUAAAGGGAUGAAGAGAAGUCCACAUGCGCCCUGGUCCUACGGUGUGCCUUAGGCAGAGGUGUCUGGGAUAGCUUCAUCAAGGUUGUGUUGUCAGGAGGCUGUCCCAGCACAUUCUUGAAUCUGUCUGCUGCUGAGGAAGACUUGACUUCCAAGAAAGGCCAUGUUGGUGAAAUUGGUAACAAUUUCCCAAGGGGAAAGGACUCUGAGGUCGGAGUGACAUGUAUCUGUAGAUUGUCUGUCCCUGUGAAAGAAAGCAUCCACAUGAGAUGUGGGAUCAGGAUGCGCUGCAAUGGGCAGGCGCUGGAGACAAGGAGCAGGCAAGACAGGCCCUGCCUGGCCACAGUCCUUCCGCUCAUCACAGAACCCUUGUGAAACAGCUCAAACAAGGAACGAAGUAACAAGGAACGAACCUGGGCUUGCUUUCAUGUAAGAGGAGCUGUGGACCACAAAGGGGAUACCCUCUACUGGAAGAGUGCAAAAGCAGGUCGGUAUGAGGGGUCCUCUCUCCCAGGCCUAGGCUGCAUCUCCAGUUGCUUUUCUCAGGGACUGUAGUCUGCCAACCGAAAAAAGGAACAACUGGAGAAAGUCUUAUAAUAGGAAGGUUUGCGAAUGAAUACACAGGUUUGCGAAUGAAUACACAACAGCCUCUUCAUGACAAAAGCUGAGCUGUGAUUGUCUUCUGAGAUGGUUUUUCCAGUUUCCCCUUGUGCAGCUUGGAGAAGGAAGGGUGGACGGUGUCUUUCACCCUAAGUAAGAACACGUGGACAGUUUUUCUUUUGAUUCUCUGUGCUCUUGUGAUUUCCCUUUUCCUUUUUUAAAUAAAAUUUUAAAUUAUUUUAACUU